rnacentral:rRNA from 1 species
CCACGCCCGUACCUACCCCACCCACGAUUCCCUCCUUCUCCCCCAUGUUGCCUCGAUGCCUCAUCUCUCCAUCUCCAGAGCAUUAGCACACCAGCCAGCGCCCUCCUUCCUCCUCUCGCCUGAGCAGCCACACACUGCCGGCCAACGCCGCCCGCCCGUCCGGCGCCCCGUCCAGCGCCGCCCUCCCGUCCGGCGCCCCCGUCCAGCGCCGCCCGCCCAUCCGGCGCCCCCGACCAGCGGCUGCUCAUCCCCGAGCAGCCCCAUGCCCUGUCCAGCGCCCGCGAGCCUGUCCUCCACCUCGCCAGCGCCGCGUGAAGGUUCACCCCUCGCAAUCUCGUCCUCACCGGCUGGCCAUGCGCACCCCAGCUCCUCCGACCGCGCACCGGAGCCCGUCCACACCCCGAGAUCCUCCUCACCCACCGGUCCUGCGCUCCGCCUCGCGAGCUCCGCCGCUAGAGCAGCCGGGCGCUCCACCGAUCGAGCACUGGCCAUCCCCGCCCUCCCUCGCGUGCCUCCCCGCGGCGCCGGAGCAAGACAGCUCCCGAGCGCGGCUGGACCGGAGUUGUGCGGCUGAGCAGGGCCAUCCCCGACCUCCCUCGCGUGCCUCCCCUGAGCGCCGGAGCGAGUCAGCUCCCAGCGCAGCUGGGCCGGAGUUGCGCGCUGAGCAGGGUCGGGCGGCGGCACGGGGAGAAGAACGACAGAUCGGCGAGGCGAGCGUCGGACUGCACGGCGGGGCGGGCAGAGAACCGCAGUAGAAAAGAAGGACCCGAUUGCUUUUCAGUCUACUAGUUAGGGUCCUUUGUAUUAAUUUCCAGGACUACUCUGUAACUUUAGUUUUUUUCGGGGUCAUAUUUGCAUUUUGUAUUUCACUAACGUUGAGUGGAAGGCACUACACACGGAUGGGCCUUUCCCUGUUAAAAAAGAAGAAAGAUAAGCAGUGCACUCGCAUGAGUUGACCGCAUCGCUCGGGAGCAACGCUGGUGUGUUUUUUUUAAAAAAUUGACCCUUUUCUUUGACGUCUGUGAUAGACGAGGCUGACAGCAAAGACGCGAAUAGUUGACGACAAAC